rnacentral:rRNA from 1 species
AAUCAACGCUGGCGGCGUGCCUCAGACAUGCAAGUCGAACGCGAAAGUUCCCUUCGGGGGAUGAGUAGAGUGGCGCACGGGUGAGUAACACGUAGGUAAUCUACCUUCGGAUGGGGAAUAACAACCGGAAACGGUUGCUAAUACCGCAUAAUGCAGCGGCACCUAAUGGUGACAGUUGUUAAAGCGGGGGAUCGAAAGACCUCGCGUCUGAAGAGGAGCCUGCGGCGGAUUAGCAGUUGGUAAGGUAAUGGCUUACCAAGGCGACGAUCCGUAGCCGGCCUGAGAGGGCGGUCGGCCACACUGACACUGACAUACGGGUCAGACUCCUACGGGAGGCAGUAGUCGGGAAUUUUGGGCAAUGGGCGAAAGCCUGACCCAGCAACGCCGCGUGAAGGAUGAAAU